GGAGGGAUGGCAGAGCGGCUGAAUGCACUGGUCUUGAAAACCAGCAAGGGCUAAUACCCUUCCAGGGUUCAAAUCCCUGUCCCUCCACCA
rnacentral:tRNA from 1 species